rnacentral:rRNA from 1 species
UACGUAGGGGGCCAGCGUUGUUCGGAAUUACUGGGUGUAAAGGGUUCGUAGGCGGUGUGGCAAGUCGGGAGUGAAAUCUCUGGGCUCAACCCAGAGACUGCUUCCGAAACUGCUGUGCUUGAGUGUGAGAGAGGCUCGUGGAAUUGCAGGUGUAGCGGUGAAAUGCGUAGAUAUCUGCAGGAACACCCGUGGCGAAAGCGGCGAGCUGGAUCACUACUGACGCUGAGGAACGAAAGCUAGGGGAGCAAACAGG